AGAGUCAUUGGGUUAAUGGUAGCACAGCGGUCUCCGAAACCGCUAGUAGGGGUUCAAAUCCUCUUGCCCCUGGCA
rnacentral:tRNA from 1 species